GAGUUUGAUCGUGGCUCAGAGCGAACGCUGGCGGCAGGCCUAACACAUGCAAGUCGAACGAACCCUUCGGGGUUAGUGGCGGACGGGUGAGUAACACGUGGGAACGUACCCUUAGGUUCGGAACAACACAGGGAAACUUGUGCUAAUACCGAAUGUGCCCUUCGGGGGAAAGAUUUAUCGCCUUUGGAGCGGCCCGCGUCUGAUUAGCUAGUUGGUGAGGUAAAGGCUCACCAAGGCUACGAUCAGUAGCUGGUCUGAGAGGAUGAUCAGCCACACUGGGACUGAGACACGGCCCAGACUCCUACGGGAGGCAGCAGUGGGGAAUCUUGCGCAAUGGGCGAAAGCCUGACGCAGCCAUGCCGCGUGAAUGAUGAAGGUCUUAGGAUUGUAAAAUUCUUUCACCGGGGGAAGAUAAUGACGGUACCCGGAGAAGAAGCCCCGGCUAACUUCGUGCCAGCAGCCGCCGCGGUAAC
rnacentral:rRNA from 1 species